UCCCAGACUCCUACGGGAGGCAGCAGUGAGGAAUAUUGGUCAAUGGGCUUACGCCUGAACCAGCCAAGUCGCGUGAGGGAAGACUGCCCUAUGGGUUGUAAACCUCUUUUGUCAGGGAGCAAUUGGCGCUACGUGUGGCGUUAUCGAGAGUACCUGAAGAAAAAGCAUCGGCUAACUCCGUGCCAGCAGCCGCGGUAAUACGGAGGAUGCGAGCGUUAUCCGGAUUUAUUGGGUUUAAAGGGUGCGUAGGCGGAAUGCCAAGUCAGCGGUAAAAUCGCGGGGCUCAACCUCGCUCCGCCGUUGAAACUGGCGGGCUGGAGUUGGAGAGAAGUACGCGGAAUGCGCGGUGUAGCGGUGAAAUGCUUAGAUAUCGCGCAGAACCCCGAUUGCGAAGGCAGCGUACCGGCUCCACACUGACGCUGAGGCACGAAAGCGUGGGUAUCGAACAGGAUUAGAUACCCCCGUAA
rnacentral:rRNA from 1 species